rfam:Cavia porcellus supercont2_23 genomic scaffold, whole genome shotgun sequence.
GUGGGUUUAGCUCAGCGGCAUAAAGCACCUGCCUUGCAAGCAGGCGGUCGUGAGUUCGAUCCCCAGUACCGAUA